rnacentral:rRNA from 1 species
UCUGAGACACGAAUCCAGGCCCUACGGGGUGCAGCAGGCGCGAAAACUUUACAAUGCUGGCAACAGCGAUAAGGGAACCUCGAGUGCCAGGUUACAAAUCUGGCUGUCGAGAUGCCUAAAAAGCAUUUCAUAGCAAGGGCCGGGCAAGACCGGUGCCAGCCGCCGCGGUAACACCGGCGGCUCGAGUGGUAACCGUUAUUAUUGGGUCUAAAGGGUCUGUAGCCGGCCGGAUAAGUCUCUUGAGAAAUCUGGCAGCUUAACUGUCAGGCUUUCAGGAGAUACUGUCUGGCUCGAGGCCGGGAGAGGUGAGAGGUACUUCAGGGGUAGGGGUGAAAUCUUGUAAUCCUUGAAGGACCACCAGUGGCGAAGGCGUCUCACCAGAACGGACCUGACGGCAAGGGACGAAAGCUAGGGGCACGAACCGGAUUAGAUACCCGGGUAGUCCUAGCCGUAAACGAUACUCGCUAGGUGUCGGCCACGGUGCGACCGUUGUCGGUGCCGUAGGGAAGCCGUGAAGCGAGC